rnacentral:rRNA from 1 species
UACGGAGGGGACUAGCGUUGUUCGGAAUUACUGGGCGUAAAGCGCACGUAGGCGGAUUUGUAAGUCAGGGGUGAAAUCCCGGGGCUCAACCUCGGAACUGCCUUUGAUACUGCAAAUCUCGAGUCCGGAAGAGGUGAGUGGAAUUCCUAGUGUAGAGGUGAAAUUCGUAGAUAUUAGGAAGAACACCAGUGGCGAAGGCGGCUCACUGGUCCGGUACUGACGCUGAAACACGAAAGCGUGGGUAGCGAAUGGG